CUGAAUCAAAUUCAUAUAAAGAACUCUGCAUGAACAGUAAAAUAAAUAACAACAACAAACCACAGAAACAAAAAGCUACCCAGUACAUUUGUAGUGAAGAGGAAAAGUUAAAAAUUUUACGUAAUCUCCUGCUCCUUCUGCCUCUGUAACUCAGCUUGCUCCUUGCAAAGUCUGGAUCAUGUAGGUCAGAUAGUCUCAGAGAGUGGAGACUUACAAUACUAGGAACUGGUGCUUAUCUCACUCACCCUUGUCCUGCUCUUUGCAAUUACCCAGCCCCUGCAAACCUACAGACCCGCUUAAUCAUGUCUGUUCGUGUAUAAAAAUUCUGUAACCCCUUUAUCUGGGGCUCAGAGCUUGGAGUGUUAACUCCUCUGGGCUUGCUGGCAUAAUAAACCUGAGUUCUCCAGCUCUCCGAGUGUGGUGUUUGGUUUCUCAAUUACUGCUUUCUGCAACAUUUCUGGAGGCUCCAGAGAGAUUCCGACCACUCCAGCUCCUUAAGCCGCCAGACUGGUGGCUCGGCCAGUCUGGAGUGGAGGAACCCCGAGACGAACGAAGAGAAGUGUCACCUGACGGUAUUCCGGGUCCUCUCUUGGACCGGUGUUCUGACUCUCCUGAUGGCCAAGCCCCUGCCAGACUCAUUGGAUGGACGGACCAAUUUGCCAGGAAUGACCACAGGAUACGACAUAUUGGUCCAAAUCGGAGAAAGCAAUGGCACCCCACUCCAGCACUCUUGCCUGGAAAAUCCCAUGGACAGAGGAGCUGGGUAGACUGCAGUCCAUGGGGUCACUAAGAGUUGGACACGACUGAGCGACUUCACUUUCACUUUUCACUUUCAUGCAUUGGAGAAGGAAGUGGCAACCCGCUCCAGUGUUCUUGCCUGGAGAAUCCCAGGGACGGGGGAGCCUGGUGGGCUGCCGUCUAUGGGGUCGCACAGAGUCGGACACGACUGAAGCGACUUAGCAGCAUUGGUCCAAAUGAAUCAAGAAGACAAAGCCUCUUCCUGGAAUUUAGGGCUGCUGCUGCACUGAACCCAAUGACUCAUUGCAGUAACAUCACUCCUUCCUGGCAGAGGAUGAAGUUGAAGCAGUUGAGGAUAGAAUGGAGACAUUUAGGAUAUUUCCUAUCUACUUUACUGACUAUGCCAAAGCCUUUGACUGUGUGGAUCACAAUAAACUGUGGAAAAUUCUGAAAGAGAUGGGAAUACCAGACCACCUGACCUACCUCUUGAGAAACCUGUAUGCAGGUCAGGAAGCAACAGUUAGAACUGGACAUGGAACAACAGACUGGUUCCAAAUAGGAAAAGGAGUAUGUCAAGGCUGUAUAUUGUCACCCUGCUUAUUUAACUUCUAUGCAGAGUACAUUAUGAGAAACUCUGGGCUGGAAGAAGCACAAGCUGAUUGCUGGGAGAAAUAUCAAUAACCUCAGAUAUGCAGAUGACACCACCCUUAUGGCAGAAAGUGAAGAGGAACUAAAAAGCCUCUUGAUGAAAGUGAAAGAGGAGAGUG
ensembl:lncRNA